rnacentral:rRNA from 1 species
UACGAAGGGUGCAAGCGUUACUCGGAAUUACUGGGCGUAAAGCGUGCGUAGGUGGUGGUUUAAGUCUGCUGUGAAAGCCCUGGGCUCAACCUGGGAAUUGCAGUGGAUACUGGAUCACUAGAGUGUGGUAGAGGGAUGCGGAAUUUCUGGUGUAGCAGUGAAAUGCGUAGAGAUCAGAAGGAACAUCCGUGGCGAAGGCGGCAUCCUGGGCCAACACUGACACUGAGGCACGAAAGCGUGGGGAG